rnacentral:rRNA from 1 species
UGGGGAAUAUUGCACAAUGGGGGAAACCCUGAUGCAGCAACGCCGCGUGGGUGAAGAAGUAUUUCGGUAUGUAAAGCCCUAUCAGCAGGGAAGAGAAUGACGGUACCUGACUAAGAAGCCCCGGCUAACUACGUGCCAGCAGCCGCGGUAAUACGUAGGGGGCAAGCGUUAUCCGGAUUUACUGGGUGUAAAGGGAGCGUAGACGGUUGUGCAAGUCUGAAGUGAAAGCCCGCGGCUCAACUGCGGAACGGCUUUGGAAACUGUGUAACUGGAGUGCUGGAGAGGUAAGCGGAAUUCCUGGUGUAGCGGUGAAAUGCGUAGAGAUCAGGAGGAACACCGGCGGCGAAGGCGGCUUACUGGACAGUAACUGACGUUGAGGCUCGAAAGCGUGGGGAGCAAACAGG